UCUCCAUGAGCAGUGGGGCUGAGGAAAGCGGCAGCACCGCUGCAGAGAGCCAGAUGGACGCCGAGACCCCGGGGCACCGGGGAACCGCGAAAGGUGGAUGGAUCAGAGGAGACAGCUGCCAGCAGCUUAGACAAGGGACAAAGGAUCUCUAGCAGCUCAAGUCCUGAUCCUCCUUCUUCUUGAGAAGCCUGCUGCAUGGUGGAGAAGUAGUCGGCCAUAAAAAUGAGCACCAAUGGAUGCAUACUUUGUGUUGUUAAUUUUUUCUCCUUAGAUGGACUGUUUUUCAUGAGGGCAGGUGUUGGAAUUGGGCAAACUGCUGAAAAUCUCAAGUCUCUAGAACCUAUCCCCUUUUCUCAGAAACUGUCGACAAUUUGACAAAGCCUG